GCAGGUGGGCAGUGGGGUGGGGGUGGCAGGGACUGGUAUGGCGCCCCCACCUCAAUGGCGCCGGGGGCACGUGCCCCCCCUGCCCCCCCCCAGUUACGCCUAUGAUAGCACACAUAUAUGUGGACAAGUAUGGUAACGUUCUCGCUAUUUCCCACAUAAUUUAAGCACUGAGUGGGGGAGCUUUUAAAGAAAACUGAAACUUUAGGGUCCUGAAGGAUCACAGCAUUGAAGGAAAGGCAGUCAAAGACAGGCUGUUAUUAGUGGAACACAGGCCCAACACUGAAUAUUGGAAAGGAGGCAAGUUAAUGGGUUCCAUCCAUCUUGUUACCUUGUGGAAACACGAACCAAAGACACAGCACUUGGAAAACAGUAACUGGCAAGAGGAUGUUAAGCGUGGAAAUAAGAAGCAUUUGUUACAAGAAAGAUUGAGGCCCCCUACAAGGAGAUUCAAGGCCCCUAGCGACUUGUGCCAAUGACAGCUUUGGGCUGCCAUCUUGAAUUUUUUGUAGGUGCUUACUGACAUGCAUUAUAUUUGGAUGUGCCCCAACAGAGAAGCUGUCAUGACUGAUGGGUGUAUGCUGCUUGCAUCCAAAGCUUAAGAUGGUUCCAUUCAAUGGGCACAAUCCCAGCAAAAUUAAACUCUCUGAGGUCAGGUUCUUUUUAGGGGGAGAGACUUUAGCAUCUGAUUAACCUUCCUACUGAAAUCAAUGUGUUUAAUUUUGCUAGAUUUUGCCCAAGGAGUGCAACCCCAUGAAGGUUUUGUAACAACCCAAGUUUGAGUCGAGAUAACAAGUUCACACAAGAACAAACCAAUACAAUAAAGCAAAGUAUUUUAUCUCA